AUGGAGCCUGCCGGGCUCGCCGCCGGCGAUCUUGGCGAGCCGGUCGGGCGUGACGGCGACGGGGGGCCCCAGGGCGAAGCGAUUGUCGAGGGUGGUGCUGUCAGGCGCGGCACGGGCGUGCGCGCCAGCGGCGCCGGCGAGAUGACCAACCGGAACGCGCCUGGUCAUGACGCCAAGACCUCCGAUACGGAGGAGAUGUCGUGCGUCAUCAACGCCGGCAAGACGAGCAAGGCGGAGGCGCCCCGCCAUGACGCCAAGGCCGGCGAUACGGAGGACAUGUCGGGCGCCAUCAACGCCCGCAAGACGAGCAAGGCGGAGGCGCCCCGCCAUGACGCCAAGGCCGGCGAUACGAAGGAGAUGUCGGGCGCCAUCAACGCUCGCAAGACGAGCAAGGCGGAGGCGCCCCGCCAUGACGCGGAGAAGGAGCUGCCGCGCGCCAGCGAAGCAGGCAAGACGAGCAAUGCUGUCGCGCCCGGCCACUACAUCAAGGCCCUCGAUACGGAGAAGGUGCUGCCGCGCGGCAGCGACGCAGGCGGGACGAGCAAAGCGAUCGCGCUCGGCCAGGACUUCAAGGUUGCCACUGCGGAGGAGAUGCCGCGCGCGGCUACGGAUGUUUGCUCUGUUUGGAGGGAGAAUUGGGAGGAGAGCUUGCAGAGUAUGAGCGGCUUCUUGGAUCUCCCAGGUACCAUGACCAUUGCUAUAGACACAGAGUAUGCAACCAAGUGCCUGCUUAGAUUGGAACAGCCACAGAACGGUGACGAGUGGUACAGCCAGCUGCAGGCUACUGCAGGGACUGCGGAUUUGGUACAGGUCGGGGUCGCGGUGACGUUCGCCGACGCCGACGCAGAGAACAUAGAACCGAUCAGGGUAUGGGAAUUCAAUCUCUUCUUUGACUCCAAAUCAAACCAGUAUAAUCCGAGCACUCUGCUGUUUUUGGAGAAGAAGUGCCGGCAUGACCUUGAAAAGCACAGGCAGUAUGGUAUUAUGCCAACUGACUUCUUCCAGUGGGUCUAUGAGCUCCACAGCAUAUUUGCAAGACGAUCUGUGACUGUUGUCACGUACCAGGGAGAUGCGGACAUCGCACUUCUAAUCUACCAAGGUGCUCCAAUGCCUGCAAGGCGGCUCGACUUUCUUCUGGAUAUCAGCAACACUUUUCCUGCAUUGGUCGACACGAGAGUUCUUGCCAUGGUUUGGGCACCAGAUUUCUGCGGGAAGUUAGAUGACCUUGCUGACAUGUUGGGCCUCUCUAGAAGUGGAACAAGACAUCAUGCAGGGUCAGAUGCGGCGCUGACCCUCAGGUGCUACUUUGCAAUGCGAAGGUUGCUGGGAGAUCAGAAGGUGCUCAGGGGAGUACUUUGCGGCUUGUUUCAAAGCGAACCAUCAGUGUGCACUGCGAGAAUAGCCUGGGAUCCUUCAAUCAGCAUUUUGCAUGUCUGGGGUAAAAACUUUGAUGAGGUUGCCGGCCAAUUUGGAAGGUUGAUUGAGAACAAUUUCACUGUCGUUACUGUCAAAGUCCUCUUUGACCCGCCUCUUCGAAAGGGUCCGUUCAAUCGUGAUCCUCAGUUCUGCUAUUCAAACAUGCAACUAAGGCUCGAUGAAAAGAUAAGAUGCACUAUUGCUAUGGUCUUCGCCACUGGCCAUGGGCAAGUGGCGAAUUCGGCAUCCUUUGUGUUUCAUAUCUGCUUUUCCGGCGGGGAGUAUAUUGAGCCAGUACAGUUCGCUAGGAUGUUGGAUGAGCAAGGAGUGCUAUGCAACCCAUACCUGACUUGGGUUACCUUCCUAGGGGCAGAAUCCGUCGCUUUCAUAUAUGACAUGGUUUAUCAUAGUUUCCAAUUCUGGAUUCCCACCAUGUUCAGUCACUACAAGGUGAGCAGAACGGGCAUGUUUCCGGUUCCAGAGGCAGCUCACUGA
rnacentral:rRNA from 1 species